GAUGAACGCUACGCGGCAGGCCUAAUACAUGCGAAGGCGAGGGGUUCGCAAGGACACCGUCGUACGGGUGCGUAACGCGUAUGCAACCUACCUAUCACAGGGGGAUAGCCUUUGGAAACAGGGAUUAAUACCGCAUAAAGCAGGGGCUUGGCAUCAAGAUACUGCUAAAGAUUUAUCGGUGAUAGAUGGGCAUGCGUCUGAUUAGUUAGUUGGCAGGGUAACGGCCUACCAAGACGAUGAUCAGUAGGGGGCGUCAGAGCGUGGUCCCCCACACUGGCACUGAGAUACGGGCCAGACUCCUACGGGAGGCAGCAGUAGGGAAUAUUGGGCAAUGGGUGCAAGCCUGACCCAGCCAUGCCGCGUGGAGGAAGAAGGUCCUCUGGAUUGUAAACUCCUUUUGUCGGGGAAGAAGAGUCAUCUUGCGAGGUGAUGUGACGGUACCCGAUGAAUAAGCCAGGCUAACUACGUGCCAGCAGCCGCGGUAA
rnacentral:rRNA from 1 species